UCGCGGGAUAGAGCAGCUUGGUAGCUCGUCAGGCUCAUAAUCUGGAGGUCGGGGGUUCAAAUCCCUCUCCCGCAACCAA
rnacentral:tRNA from 13 species